UACGUAGGGGGCUAGCGUUGUCCGGAAUCAUUGGGCGUAAAGCGCGCGUAGGCGGCUCGGUAAGUCCGCUCUGAAAGCCCGGGGCUCAACCCCGGGAGGCGGGUGGAUACUGCUGAGCUCGAGUCCGGAAGAGGAGUGUGGAAUUCCUGGUGUAGCGGUGAAAUGCGCAGAUAUCAGGAAGAACACCCGUGGCGAAGGCGGCUCUCUGGGACGGUACUGACGCUGAGACGCGAAAGCGUGGGGAGCGAACAGG
rnacentral:rRNA from 1 species